rnacentral:rRNA from 1 species
AUCUACGGCCAUACCACCCUGAACGCGCCAGAUCACGUCUCAUCUCGGAAGCUAAGCAGAGUUGGGCCUGGUUAGUACUUGGAUGGGAGAUUUAAUGACCGGUAUAAGACACGGGAAGAUU